AUUGAACGCUGGCGGCAGGCUUAACACAUGCAAGUCGAGCGGGGAAAAGUAGCUUGCUACUGGACCUAGCGGCGGACGGGUGAGUAAUGCUUAGGAAUCUGCCUAUUAGUGGGGGACAACAUCUCGAAAGGGAUGCUAAUACCGCAUACGUCCUACGGGAGAAAGCAGGGGACCUUCGGGCCUUGCGCUAAUAGAUGAGCCUAAGUCGGAUUAGCUAGUUGGUGGGGUAAAGGCCUACCAAGGCGACGAUCUGUAGCGGGUCUGACAGGAUGAUACGCCACACUGGGACUGAGCCACGGCCCAGACUCCUACGGGAGGCAGCAGUGGGGAAUAUUGGGCAAUGGGGGGAACCCUGAUACAGCCAUGCCGCGUGUGAAGAAGGCCUGUUGGUUGUAAAGCACUUUAAGCGAGGAGGAGGCUACCGAGAUUAAUACUCUUGGAUAGUGGACGUUACUCGCAGAAUACGCACCGGCUAACUCUGUGCCAGCCGCCGCCGUAAAAC
rnacentral:rRNA from 1 species